rnacentral:rRNA from 1 species
GUUCAGACAUUUGGUGUAUGUGCUUGGCUGAGGAGCCAAUGGUGCGAAGCUACCAUCUGUGGGAUUAUGACUGAACGCCUCUAAGUCAGAAUCCCCCCUAAACGUAACGAUACCCUAGCGCCAUGGCUCCGUGGUUGGCCUGGGAUAGCCGGCCCUUCCGGGGGUCGGUGUGGAGUGCCAUUCGUGACUGGUUCGGAGAGCGGACAGAUGAGCUUCCGCCUCUCACCUUUUACGCACCGCAUGUUCGUGUUGAACCUGGUGCUAAAUCAUAUGUAGACGACCUGAUUCUGGGUCAGGGUUUCGUACGUGGCAGAGCAGCUACCCUCGUUGCGAUCUAUUGAGAGUCAGCCCUCGAUCCAAUCUUUUGUC